ensembl:lncRNA
CCACCUGUCACUCAAGUGGCCAUGCCCUUAAUUAUGCAGAACUUAAUAUAUAAAGGCUUAAUAUAAUUUAAACUGAUGAGUUAUAAAAAAAAAUCACCCCCCUCACAGUUGUGAUGAAGGGCAAAAUUAGCUAUAUAGACCAAAAUCAUUUUUUGAACCAGGCUGUAAACAUGUUUUUUUCUGCUGUAAAGUUGGGCAUUUUAACAUGGGGAGUCUAUGGGACUGACUCCCUUUUGCAGCCAGCCUCAAGCGGCCAGUCGAUGAAUUACAGUUUUAAUCACUUCUUUUUUGUCUUCACGGGAAGAAAGAGUUAGGUUGCGUGGUCGAGCGUGACUCAAAACUUAAGUGUAUAACUUCACCACUGCAUGAAGUACCAAACCUUGAUAGUGUUUCUAAGCAAAUGCUAUGCGUGUGAGCCUGUGAGUGCGUUCUUCUAUUCUUGUAUGCUCAUGUUCGCAUUUGAGGAGGUUGUGGUGUAAAGAGCUGCCGAUUUAUUUUGUAAAUAUUGUGUGAUGAUAUGAAUGUUUUUUUCAGGCCCAGUAGUUCAGUGAGUGACACGGAACACAAACAGAAAAGAAAGAACAAGAAGAUGAGAGAGAUGAAGAUGGAGGAAGAACCACAACCCAGUGAAUCAACACAAGAGAAACUUGUUAAAUGGGGCAGCAUGACGCUUAUAAAACCAGACUUGUCUCAUGAAGCUGAUCGAUCAGAAAGUCAAUCUGAUGUUUCAGAAAGAAGCAAAGAUGAGGUGAGUGAUUCACAGCUCAUGAACAGAGAGAUGUGACACUUCUUUAAUGUUACUGAGGGUUAAUCUGAUUUUCUCACAUGCGGAUUCAGUGAAAUGUCUCUAAUUUUUUUCUCUUUUGUGUAUUAAUGUUUCCAGUAGAUCAUUUGAAUGGCAGCAGACAGAAAACCUGCUCUGAAUAACUCAUUUCAUGAUUUCAAAUGGAGCCUCAGUAUAUAGUCAGAUCGUCUUAUAUUGUGUGCAGUAUUGGGAAGGUUACUUUGGAAAUGUAAUAGGUUACAGAUUACAAGUUACCCUAUUUAAAAUUUAAUAGUAGUGUAACUUUUUCAAUUACUUUAAUAAAGUAAUGUAACUGAUUACUUUUGAUUACUUU